GACAGAGGGGGCAAGCGUUGCUCGGAAUUACUGGGCGUAAAGGGCGCGUAGGCGGGAUGGUAAGUCGGUCGUGAAAUCCCUCGGCUCAACCGAGGAACGUCGAUCGAUACUACCGUUCUUGAGGAUUGCAGAGGAGACUGGAAUUCCCGGUGUAGCGGUGAAAUGUGUAGAGAUCGGGAGGAACACCGGUGGCGAAGGCGGGUCUCUGGGCCGAUACUGACACUGAGAAGCGAAAGCGUGGGGAGCGAACAGG
rnacentral:rRNA from 1 species